rnacentral:ncRNA from 1 species
ACUAUGACUAUAUUAAGGUAUCUAUAUGCCUCGUCAUCUAAUUAGUGACACACAUGAAUGGAUCAUUAACGAUAUUCCCCACUGUCCCUAGCUACUAUAUUCUAGAGAAACCACAUCCAAGGGAAUGGGCUUGGCAGAAUUAGUGGGGAAAGAAGACCCUCAUGUGGAGCUUGAAUCUAGUCCUAACCCAUUGAUGCAGGAGCAUUGU